AUGAUCCUUGGCUAUCCUUCAGAGGAGGCUCAGUCCAUUGCUGAUUGGCUGAACUGCCGCCUGGGUUCCUUCCCCACGACUUACUUGGGGAUACCCAUUAGUGAUUCCCGGCUCACCAUUGCUGACCUCCGCCCGACUGUGACUAGGAUGCAGCACCGGGUUGAACCCUGGAGGGGGAGGUGGCUGUCGAAAGCAGUUGGGGUUAUCCUCAUCAACUUCUCGCUUGCUAGCCUACUCUGGUUCCUCAUGAGCUUCUAUGGCCUCCAUGAGACCCUCCAUCAGGAGGUGGCCAAAUACCAGUCUAGGUUUUUUUGGGCUGGCGAGGGGGACAAG
rnacentral:rRNA from 1 species